rnacentral:sRNA from 1 species
CUCCUCAACUCCCCUUUGUUUGAUGGAAAAAGACAGAGAAAGUCCCAAGUGGACAGUUAAGCAGAAGGGCUGUCUUGUGACUCUAAGUGAUGGUGGAGAGACCCAAUGAUUAGUGAGUUGGAUCCUAUUCUGCUUCUGAGUACAGGAAAUCAAUCUGUAAUUCUAAGAAUUCUCUAGGAAUAAAAUCAGGAAUGCUUUUUAAAUGCCUUGUGAAAAUGUUAAAAAUGAGUUUCCCUCCCUGAAGGAGGUGAGCGCAGAGCCGAAAACUUGACCCCUAAAUCAUUAAAGUAAACCCAAGCGCCUGCCUCCCCCUACUCAGGUGUUAACUGUUCAGUUGUCGAAAGACAGGGACAGUAAGGAUCCACGAGGCACAGUAUUAGAUCUAAUCUUGCCACUAUUACAAAGCAAUGUCUUCCAGAGGCCAUAAAAGCACACACCUCUGGGUGUGGCUUGUUUUAGGCAUGGGAUAAGGAAACCCCAGGAAAUUAAAAGGGGUUCUGACAUCUUAACUAAUGCGUGAUGAUAAACUUGUUUAGGGUCUACACCCACACUUGUGCAUGGCUGUCAUCUGUGAAUCCUUAAAGACCGCCAGCCAGAUGAUACCCGAGCUCCUACCUAACUCUGAGUGUGAAGUCAGUGUGCAAUCGUUUCCAUGACGUCAGCAGGGCCGCAGUAAGCAUGGCGGUCACUAAAGCAGUAAACUGGGGCCGAGCAUAACAAGACCUUUGUUUCUGAGCCCCGCAGAGAAGCAGGCUUCCCUGCAGAAAGCCUUGAUCACUAGACACAUCUCAAUUAACUGGUGAGGUAAUUAACAGCUAUGAACUCAAUCUGUUCAUUGAUGGGCCUUUACGACAAGACAAAAUGAUAUCCUCCCAAAAAAAACCUGUUACCUAUUUGUACAACUUAGUAUGCAUUUCGAAAAGGAUUGUAAAAUUUAAAAACAGAGGAAAAAUGCUAACAUUCUAGCCAACUCUAGACUAAACCUCACCUUCCUCUGUCAUUUAUCUGACCUAAGCAAGAGCUCUUGGGUUUUGGUUAGAAGACUCGGGCUCCAAAUAAGUGAAGUCUGAGUCUUAGUUAUAAAAGACUGCAAUGCAGAAAGAUUUACCGCAGUGUAUAGAAGCUACACGAAAGCUCGGCUCAUAGAUGCUCAAUCAGUAAGCAGGCAUACAUUAACAUGUGCGUUCAAAAUAAAUACCCAUGUAAUUACGGAAUCUAAUCAAAUUUUAUUCAUGUUUCCUCGAAUCUAGAUGCAACUGAACUUAAACCUUUCUUUCCCUUUUCUUCAAUUGUGUUCUCAUAAGUUCAUUUUUCCUCCUUAUUUUAUGUUCAAGAAUAAACUUAGCUGUCCAUGGAACUUUCCCAAAUUUAAGGGCCCUCACUAAAAGGUACUCUCAGAAAUCUCCACCAUAGCCGAGCUGACCCAGAAAGAGGAUACCGAGACUAACCUGAACUGCCUUCACAUCAUUCGACAAAUUGGCACACCCGUCAGCGUUUUGCAAGAAGAGGCUGGCCAUCGCCAUCCCAGCACAAGCACUUGGACUGAGCCAAGACCCAGCACACGGUGGGGCAAGUCUCUGCAUGGGAAGUCCACCCGGUAAAGAAAGACGCACAAUGAAAGUGUAAACACAGAAUUCUCCAAUUCUGACUGACACCCAGAACUGCUACCCUCCCACUGUCACUUAAACAUCGAGUGGCCUGUGUGUCACAGAAGGCAAGUUCAGUGCCCAGUCUGAAACUCCGCACUUCGUCUCAGUAACGGAGAGUUAAUGCCUGUGUGACUGACAUGCAAGACACGGAGGAAUUGCCAUUUAUUUACACUCAAGGUAAAGGCCUCGAUUCUCACUAAGCUCUCCCCAACAAUCCAGGCAUUAUUCUGAAGGGACUGCUUUUCUCUUUAAAAUAUACUUNAGGUGUUUUUUUUUUUUAGGUCACUUAAAUUUUGCCAAAAUUCUGGAAUCAUUCCUUUCAUCAUUUCCCCUUAGGCUCUGAAAUUCAGAGAGGCCUCACAUCAACAACAAUUAAAAUAUAUUCAAUAAUUAAUAAUCCUAGCUUAAACAGUUCAGCUUUAGGAGGGGAGUGCUAGACACGUGUGAAAGCAGGACACUAACAUCUGACAGGGUCAUCCCACAGGCCAGCCCAACAGUGAAGGACAUAGCAGCAGCCUGAUGCAUGACAGUAGGUCAGCCAUGUGACCGGAGAGGCUUCCAUUGUCUCCACUGCUCAAGUUCUGCAGCUGACAAGUUCACAGUGUCUUCCAUUUCAUCCCCACCGUUAAGUCUGUGAUAUUGUCUGACUCCAUAAUGGGACAGGAAAGAACACACAAAGACACACAGAGGAGACUGGAAGGACAGACUGCGGGUGGUGCGAAAACACACACAUUCACAGUACAUACAUAACAAGAAAGGUAUCUCACACCACACGGGCAGAGGUCACUGCAGACGUCACUCUGAGCAAAGCUGGUCCGCAGAAAGUGAAAGCGUCACAAACAGUUCAUACAGAGAGAGCCGACUAACAACAAAACUUUCUUUUAAACAGACUGUUUCUAGCCAGAGCAUAUUGAAAUGUUUCACUGUGAUAUUGGACGUUGCAAGGAUACAAAACUAAAGUACAAGAAUAUAACAGUUAGAUUUGUGUUUUUAAGCAUUUUUAUAUGUUGUAAAAAGACACUGUAAUGAGCAUUAAAA